GGGGGCGUAGCUCAGUUGGGAGAGCGUUUGAAUGGCAUUCAAAAGGCCAGGGGUUCAAUUCCCCUCGUCUCCA
rnacentral:tRNA from 1 species